GUCCGCGGAUCGGCGCUGCGAGCCCCGCGGCUGCCUGCGGGACACCUGAGCGCGGAGGGUGCGGCACCUUGGCACCUUGACCCUGUGGCAGGGACAUCUCGGCCCAGGAAAGAAUGAGGUUUAGGCACGGCCUAACCACCUAAGUGAGGGCACUGAAGCUGCCGGGGGAAGGGCAAGGUCCGCGUUGCAGAGCCCAAGCCCAGUGGCGCAGGAUUUGUUUUGCACAUCUCGAUAUACUGAUUGAUAAAGACUCAGAUAAUCAAAUCAAGAAUGCUACAGGUGGUUACUCCUCAGAAACCUUGAAAGGAUUUAAAUUCAUUCUGCUUAAAGUCAUGCCAUACAGGAAGCCAUCAGAAGUUGCCUGGUAAGGAUUUAAGAAAAAAGGAAUUAAGUGGUUAUUUGGGUCAUAAAUUUUAGGGC
rnacentral:lncRNA from 1 species